UACGUAGGGUGCGAGCGUUGUCCGGAAUUACUGGGCGUAAAGAGCUCGUAGGUGGUUUGUCGCGUUGUUCGUGAAAACUCACAGCUCAACUGUGGGCGUGCGGGCGAUACGGGCAGACUGGAGUACUGCAGGGGAGACUGGAAUUCCGGGUGUAGUGGUGAAAUGCGUAGAUAUCCGGAGGAACACCAGUGGCGAAGGCGACUUUCUGGCCUGUUCUUGACGCUGAGGCGCGAAAGCUAGGGGAGCAAACGGG
rnacentral:rRNA from 1 species